GGGCCUGCACAAGCGGUGGAGUAUGUGGCUUAAUUCGAUGCAACGCGAAGAACCUUACCUGGCCUUGACAUGCAUCUCUAAGCGUGUGAAAGCACGUGACCCCUCGGGGAAUUUGCACAGGUGCUGCAUGGCUGUCGUCAGCUCGUGUCGUGAGAUGUUGGUUAAGUCCCGCAACGAGCGCAACCCUUGUGUCCUGUUGCCACUUCCGCUAGCGCGGAAAGCACUCUGGACAGACUGCCUCGUCUCAACGAGGAGGAAGGUGGGGAUGACGUCAAGUCAGUAUGGCCCUUACGGCCAGGGCUGCACACGUACUACAAUGCCUGGUACAAUGGGAAGCAAUACCGUGAGGUGGAG
rnacentral:rRNA from 1 species